rnacentral:rRNA from 1 species
UACGUAGGGUGCGAGCGUUGUCCGGAAUUAUUGGGCGUAAAGAGCUCGUAGGCGGUGUGUCACGUCGGCCGUGAAAACCUGCAGCUUAACUGUGGGCGUGCGGUCGAUACGGGCAUCACUGGAGUUCGGCAGGGGAGACUGGAAUUCCCGGUGUAGCGGUGAAAUGCGCAGAUAUCAGGAGGAACACCGGUGGCGAAGGCGGGUCUCUGGGCCGAUACUGACGCUGAGGAGCGAAAGCGUGGGGGAGCGAACAGG